AGUGGCCACACCUGUUCCCAUCCCGAACACAGAAGUUAAGCACUUCAGCGGCGGACAUAGCCUUUGGUGAAGUAUGCACGUUGCCAGGU
rnacentral:rRNA from 1 species